rnacentral:rRNA from 2 species
UACGAAGGGGGCUAGCGUUGUUCGGAAUUACUGGGCGUAAAGCGCACGUAGGCGGGUUUGUAAGUAGGGGGUGAAAUCCCUGGGCUCAACCCAGGAACUGCCUUCUAGACUGCAGAUCUAGAGAUCAGGAGAGGCGAGCGGAAUUCCGAGUGUAGAGGUGAAAUUCGUAGAUAUUCGGAGGAACACCAGUGGCGAAGGCGGCUCGCUGGACUGAUACUGACGCUGAGGUGCGAAAGCGUGGGGAGCAAACAGG